UUAACUUCUGUGGCUGGUAAAAUAUUUGAAAGGUUAUUAAGGGAUAAUAUUCAAGAAUUCCUUGAGAAGAACAUGGUUAUCAGCAAAAAUCAGCACGGUUUUAUGAAGCACAGGUCAUGUCAAACUAACUUGAUUGCGUUCUACGAAGUAAGUAGAAGUAUAGAUCAGGGUGUUGCCGUGGAUAUGAUCUAUUUGGAUUUUGACAAGGCAUUUGAUACAGUUCCAC